rnacentral:tRNA from 1 species
UGUAGCUCAGUUGGUAGAGCGUUCGGCUGUUAACCGAAAUGUCGCAAGUUCGAGCCUUGCAUAGACAGCCA